GGGGGCGAGGAGUUCCAGCUCCCGGUUCCAGAGGAACAGGUGCCAGUGGAUGAACCAGAGCCGGUUCCGGUAGCACCCAUUGCACCUCCAGAAGCGCCUACACUGCGUCCAGAGGCAUUCGAAGAAGCACCCCUGGCAGAGAGAGGCCAGCUGUCAAAGGUGUGGGGCCGGCUUCAGCAGUUUGUCGAUGAGCACGGCAUGUGCACUAUGUCGACGCUGGUCACGCCAGAUGUCUUCAACCGAAGGACAGUGGCCAGCUGCUUCGGAGCACUUUUGCGUCUUCACAAGCGCCGGCUCGUGCAUCUGAGUCAGGAUCACCCGUACGGUCCGAUCGUCAUCGAGGUCAACCAGCAAGAAGAAGGCACCCCGCCAAUGGCCCGCCAUCCCAGCCCUUGAUUGCACUCUGCGUUGUCCCCUGACAUGGAGCCCAACAUUGGCCCAGUAUUUUCUUCAUGUGCCAGUAUAGCCGCCUUAUUUCCUCUUACAGGCAUUGCUAACUUAAGCUCAGUGAUACACUGCGUAACCAGUGGUACAGAACUAGUCAAACUAGCAUAAUUCAUUAAGCAAAAGGCUGCCAUUUGUGAUCUAGUCAUCCGUAUUUGUAUUUUUAGAUUAUAUUGACACUUGCACAAUUUUUGUGCAAGGCUUAUUUCUAUAAGACAGCAUUUAGCCAUUUGCAGUGUUUUUAAAAAUGUCUUGGAAAGGUUUUUAGAUGAGGCUCCUUGAGGUACUUGAACACAUUUUUUAUUAUUUUACGUUCUCUAUUGUUCAGUGUUCAUCUUAUCUUGUGAUAAUUACCGGUGACAAUGCACCUAUACUGCAGCUAGUCAUGUGGAUUUGCCUCAGCAGAUGAGGCCCACCAGUGAUAUUUUCACAGCUUCAAGGUAUAAAGCAUUAUUUUUGGAUGUUGUUAUAUUUAAUAAAGGAAUACUAUAUAC